CAUUCACGGUUGGAAAUGGUUCAUGGACAUUACAAGAAAAUAGGGCAAAGGCGGCGAUUUAGAGCCGGCGGUCUUGAAGACCCCCGCCUAUGAAAAGAAUAAGGUGGUGGUUUAAAAUAGACCGCCGCCUAGAAAACCAAAACAUUCACGCGACUAUACUAGGUGGCGGUCUUUCCGUUGUUUGUAACAUUGAACCGCUCUGAAGGAUUUUACAUUUAGGCCUCAAGUGACCUAUUUUACAUCUCGGAAGGAUUUUCCUCUUUGAAGACCUCCUCUAGCUCUCCACUUUUUCUUCCUCUCUUCAUUGCUUCUCUCUUCUUACUCCCACUCAUCUCAUCAUAGAAUCGAAGCGGAGAUCAUUUGAAUCAGCUAUGGAGGUUGAGUUCACGAAAUCUCAGAUUGUUACUGUAAUCCCAAGAACUUUUUCUAUGCAUGGCAUGCUAAAGAGAAGCAUUCGCUAGCCAACAAUAUAUUGUGAUUAGCAUUCUGCAUUCAGGUCCUCCAACACUUGUCGUACUGCACACGGACAUGGCUAUUCACACCCAUUAAGCGCCUUAACACUCGAUAUCAACACAACUUAAGAGAGUUUGAGCUUGCGUGGCUGUAUAUUCACUUCCUACAUGGAAACAUCCUCUUCUAUGAUUACAUGAAAAAUGGACAUUGUA